rnacentral:rRNA from 1 species
GAUGAACGCUGGCGGCGUGCCUAAUACAUGCCAGUCGAGCGAACAGACGAGGAGCUUGCUCCUCUGACGUUAGCGGCGGACGGGUGAGUAACACGUGGAUAACCUACCUAUAAGACUGGGAUAACUUCGGGAAACCGGAGCUAAUACCGGAUAAUAUAUUGAACCGCAUGGUUCAAUAGUGAAAGACGGUUUUGCUGUCACUUAUAGAUGGAUCCGCGCCGCAUUAGCUAGUUGGUAAGGUAACGGCUUACCAAGGCAACGAUGCGUAGCCGACCUGAGAGGGUGCUCGUCUACACUGGAGCUUGAACAGGGUCCAGACUCCUACAAGAAGGAGGAGAAGGGAAUCUUGCGCAAUGGGGGAAAGCCUGACGGUGCAAUGCCGCAUGAGUGAUGAAGGGCUUCGGAUCGUAAUGCUCUGUUAUUAGGGAAGAAGAAUUGUGUAAGUAACUAUGCACAUAUAGACGGUACCUAAUCAGAAAGGCACGGCUAGCUAGGUG